ACACGGACAUGAACCGGUUCGUGUGUGGAACACAGACAAAAGGGCCUCAUUUCUUUGAUUUUGUUUAGCUUGGAGAGCUCCUUCCACCGAACCCUACCCUUCCUCCAUCGGCGGCAACAGAGUUCCGACAGUUGAUCGACGGCAACAAUGAGACCUCCGGUGGCGAUGUGUUUUUCUCUCUUCUUCUUCUCCUCUUUUCAUCGUCUUCUCCGAUGGUAGGUCCGAUGGAAAUCUCAAUUUGGAAAUUAAGGUUUUGCUGUUGAGAUAAACCUACAAAACAUUUGGAUGGAUGGAUGCAACCAAUCAUUUUGAAAAAUUCAACAAAUUCAAAAUGAUUUGUUGAAUCAUUUUGAAUCAAAAUGAUGAAUAAGAAGAGGAGAAGAAGAAUGAUUGUCAGCCCCACCACUGGAGUUACUUGUCGAAGAAGAAGAAUGGAGAGUAGAAGAAGAGAAGAGGAGAAGAAGAAUAUGCCGUCGCCGGAGGUCUUUUUGUCACCGUCGAUGAACUGCCGGAGCUCUAUUGCCGCUGAUGGAGAAAGGAUUUGGUGCAUGAGUAGGGUUUGGUGGAAGGAGCUCUCAGGGAAACAGAAUCGAAGAAAUGAAGCCCUUUUGUCCCAGACCGGUUCAUAUCCACAUGAACCAUCCGAUUGUGUCAACGGACCACGUCAAUGCUCAAGCGGACGUUAAUAUUGAUCUGAUCGACGUGUCACUCUACAUUGGGUUCACGCGUCCAAUGCAUCCACGGGUGCACAGAACGCGGACUCUUGGAUUAUCCGGGUUGGGACCACUUGUUCCAUACCGAGGCCGGAUAAAGCUUGGAACAAAUAUAAAUUUUAGUCGUAAAUUCAACCCUUUGUCACUUCCAAAAAAGCAAUCUAAGUUAGAUCUCAACUAUGAUAUAUUAAAUUUCCUAAUUAGUUUUGAGCAAGCAGCCAAUUGAUGACCUCGCCAAAAGAAUUAGGAAAUUUUCUGAAAAUUAAUGUUGAGCCCUACAUGUCGCCAUUUUUUUAUUAUUUUUUUUUAAAGUUCACCAACCUCCAUUGUUUCUAAAAAGGGUUUAAUUAAAAAACCCACUGCCAAU